rnacentral:tRNA from 1 species
GGAGGGGUCGCACAGUGUGGUGAGUGCGCCAGCCUUGAAAGCUGGUAACCCGAAAGGGUAUGCAGGUUCGAUUCCUGUCCCCUCCGCCA